ensembl:snoRNA SNORA70 Small nucleolar RNA SNORA70
AAGGAGAAAUUUAAGAGAACAAAGAAAAUUUCUGCCGGUGUGCAAUGGCUGCAAACAGCAAGCCUCCUCGGUAGUGUAUGCAGCCUACUGGUAAGUACAUGCUGCCCUAAGGGACCUUGGAGACAACC